rnacentral:lncRNA from 1 species
GUGACUCAUUAAGGAUGAACAUGGUGUUCUGGAUAAUGCAACAUCCUUUACUGUUACAGUCUCCUUCCUUCAGACAAGUCAAAACAGGUGCUUCAAACCCAAGUCACUCACACUAGUCCAAACCACCUUUUGUGGAGUAGACGAAGAGUGCAAGUUGAUCUGGCUCACUCUGUGGCUGCACAAUUUCUCUGUCUGAUGGUAGGAAAGAAGGAGGAACAUGUAGACAGUGAAGGACAGAGUAAGUGUGCCCUGAAAAGGGCUGUCUGAAUUUAAACUGAACUGACUUCACUUUAUCUAUUUGCCAGCUCAGCUGUGGACAAUGACUUGGCAUGGGGACAGUACCCAGAUGUCAUACUGAAUGGACACUGCUUUUCUGCACGGCCUUUGAGUGCCUUGUACCCAUGUAGCUUAAUUUACAAAUGAGGCAGGCUAAAAUUCAGAGUGAAAAUUAGAUGUUCUGAAUUUGAAGUAAGAAUGCUCACCUUUGGAACUAGUUAGUGCUAAUCAAUCAGCAAUAACUCCACAGGCACACUAUGCAAAAUCUGAGUGUGGAAAGGGCAAUUGUACUUUUAAUACAAGCUAGCAGUUAUAGAAUCAUAGAAUAAUUUCAGUUGGAAGAGACCUCUGGAGGUCAAAAAGUUCAACCCCUUUUUCAAAGCAGGGCCAACUUCAAAGUUAGAUCAUGUUACUCUGAACCUUGCCCGGUUAAGGUUUGAAUAUCUCCAAUGACGUGCAAAGUACCUUAGUUCUUACUGUGAAUAGCUUUGUUUAUAUCAAAUAUUUACUGCUAGUUAACACUUAUUUGCUAAUAUAUGAGUAAAGGAUGACUUUUGUUGUUCUUACCAACAUGGACUUUCUCUAAAUGAUUAUAAAUUUAAGUUUUUAAAAGAGACAAUCCUUACCCUUUUUAACUUAUGCCAACUCUACAACAUGUAAAUCAGAUUUUUAUUCAUGCACUUACCAACCUUUAUCUUAAUCCUAAAGAGCCUGAUUUGCAGUUCUGGUGUGAGAUGGGAAUGGACUUUAGCAUAUAUUAACAUUAGAGGGAGAAGGCUGAAGAUUGAAUGUUUUUUUCCCUCCUUCAGAAUGAGAUGGCAGUGGGUGGAGCUCCUUCAGCGCAAGAUGGAUCUGGUAUUUGGGGCAAAGGGGGAAUACAAAGUCAUUCAACUUAAACCAGUUUUGCAGAUGGAAAAACAGGCACAUAAAGGUGGAGUAACAUAA